rnacentral:pre_miRNA from 1 species
UCCGCAGUAUAUUCCUGUGACUUUCGUAGCAAUUGAAGUUCAAAUCACAGGAGUAUACUGUGAG